AGAUCUUUGUUCAUACUGCAGCGUAUUCUACGUAAUUCAGCACUUUGUGUGUAUUUUAGCUCUUUUAAUAUAAUUUGAGAUUUGCUUGUAUUUGCUUUUGGCGGGAAACUGCGCUCACAAAGUUACCGGAAAUUUGGAAAGUGCUUCGUUGAACAUCUGUAAAAAGAAAACCGCUGUAAUGUAGCAGAGAAAAGGCGCACACAGACAGUUUCCGUGGCCACCCGUGGUAACAUCCGGAUACUUGACUCAGCUCGGCGAAGCCUCACGACUAAAGCGACCAAAACAAGCCGGUUUUCAGACGAUCAGGUUCAUCUUUGUCGCUGCUCGAUGUUGUCGAUCAAAGUCUUAAACUCAUGAACUUGUUUCUUCAGUCUGAGGCGGUCUCCUCGUGCAAGACUGUCGGCAGACAUGAAGAGCCAACAGAAAAGCCUUGAACCAGAUGAGAGUGUGACUGUCAACGAGGAAGGUAAACAUAUUAUUAAUUAAUGUCACUAUUUUAACUGUGUUAUCUAAAGUUAUUUAAUAUGUACCAAUUUAAUUUAAUAUUUUACUUCUUUCACAAGUCAAACAGACUGUUUUCAGUCUAGCAGCUGUCUUUUAUUUGAUAUAUUUUUAAAUAUUAUUCUUGUAUUUUUU